GCAUUGGAGGUUCAGUGGUAGAAUACUCGCCUGCCACGCGGGAGGCCCGGGUUCGAUUCCCGGCCAAUGCA
rnacentral:tRNA from 1 species